rnacentral:rRNA from 1 species
UGGUGGAGUGAUUUGUCUGGUUAAUUCCGAUAACGAACGAGACUCUGUCCUGCUAAAUAGUCCCGGUGUCUCUUCUGCACUGGGAGUUCUUCUUAGAGGGACUGGCGGCGUCUAGCCGCACGAGAUUGAGCAAUAACA